rnacentral:misc_RNA from 1 species
AAGUCGUAACAAGGUUUCCGUAGGUGAACCUGCGGAAGGAUCAUUAAACAUAUUUACAGGGGGCCGAGCCCCACUGCGCGUUUACGUGCUUUGGGACCUGCCCUGUCUGAAUAUUCUACCCAUGUCUUUUGCGUACUAUUUGUUUCCUUGGUAGGCUUGCCUGCCGAUAGGACACUAUAAAACCUUUUGUAGUUGCAGUCAGCGUCAGAAAUAACUUAAUAGUUACAACUUUCAACAACGGAUCUCUUGGUUCUG